GACCGCCUUGCCGUCGGCUCGCCACCGGACGCCGCCGUUUGCCGGAGUCUCCCAUCGCCAGUACAGCCGCCGCGACCUCCGCCCCUGCCCGCAGCCACCGCCGCGGAGAUUGGUAUUGUCCGAUUCCUGUUUACCUAAAAAUACGCUAAACAGAUCGUUGUUAGAACUGACAAACAAAGUUUAAUUUAAUUAUACUCUUACCUUUUCUACUCGAAGAAUAGUGGUCGUAAGAGGUCGAUCCACAGGGAGGCGAUUGGAGUUGCAUAAAAAUUAAAACGUUCACUCGGAUUCGAAAUCGAUUUUUGAACGAUAGAAGAAAAACAUUACUUUGAGGAUGUUAAAUGAUUCUCUGGUUUACCAGAGAAUAUUUUUUAUUUAAAAUUAACAAAAAGCAGGUAAAGAGCAUUUAUAUAUUUAACUAAUCAAAGAAGAGCUUUGGAAUAAAUUAAAAUGGAUGAAAACAGUGCUAAGAAGAUCAAAGCCUAGAACAUAAAUUGCAUAAAAAAAAUUUAAUGUAUUGCAUAAAAAGAAAAAUUACAGAAUCUACAAAACAGAAUAAAAGAAGAAAAAUUGCAACAUAAAAAAAAAAAACUGAAAAGUAAAAACUCUCCACCAAAAUAAAACUCUCUAAAAUUAAAACUUAACACAAAACCUCUUAACAUAAGACUUUCAAUUAAAACUCAACAAAAAAAACACAAUGCUCUGUUUUCAAACUUCGUUGAAAACAGAGCAAGGCAUUCUCUCCCAAAUUCCCUCUUCUUUUUUUUUUUUU
rnacentral:lncRNA from 1 species